AAUUUACUUCCAAGCCUCUUGCCUUGUGAAAAUCCAACACUGAGAUGAUGGGUUUUCCAGUGGCUUCUCAUUUCUCAGUUUCCCAGGUACCCUCUUUAAAGUCUCACGGUGAGUUACAGAAUAUGUAUCUCAGAGAUUCCCACUUACCCAAAGCACCUCCAAUGGAGGUGCAGCUCUUCUUUUGCUGGAAUGACUUAUAUUUUGUAUUCAUCCCAGUAAACCCAAAAGCAAACCCAAAUGUAAUGAGAAGCUUGCCCACUGCAGGUCAGCUUCAGCUCAGAGGUGAAACCUCACAGAUGCUGGCUGCCUAGCAGUCCUUCAUAACAUCUAAAUUUCACAGUUGUGAUCCUCCACUUCCAACAGCAACAAAGAAGACACAAGUGAGAGCCUUUACCACCUCAUCUUCCUUAGAUGGCUUCACCCAGGAUUUUCAGAUCCAGAUCCCAGACAUUGUAGAAACCAAGGAAUGUCAAGCCUGUGUGAGCUCACUAUACCACUCCUUUUUAUUCACAGCUUCUGUUGAAUUAAUUUUCCCCAUGCAGACUUCACACUUGGGCCUCCCAUGGACCUUUUCAAGCAUUCCUUUUUGUCUCCUUCCCCUCUGUGAGCAUGGGGUCACCAAAGCUGGUGAGGCAGCAGUAAUCAGGGGCAAGCAGAGCAUGCUGUUAGCAAGGAAAACCCACCAGGCUAAUGCUGACCAGCUGUGGUGCCCAUGUUUUAGAAAGCCCAUGCUCCCCAUCCAAGCAGUUCUCUGCUGAGGCCCUAAGGGAGGGUCUUAGGUGGUGAAUGAGGCUGUCCAAGAGGGCAACCAGCCAGGGCUGUAGGGUUUUGACAGAGUAAAAAGAAAACAGCCUUGACCUGAGGCAAAGUGGAUCUGACUGAGGAACAAAAGCCAAGUCUCGAGGUGCAUCAAACAAAGGUGUAACCUGCACCCUGCCAGAGCACCUGGGACAGCAUCUAUCCCUGGGACUCUGCACUGACCUGGGGCACACCAGCCCCUUCCUGUGUGCCUUACUCCAGGGGGAUAAAGUAUCAGGAUAGGUCUGUCACUGCCAGCACCCACAGGGGAAUCCCAAGCCUAAAAACCCCACAAAAGUAUUUUAUAUCCCCACCUACGGCAAUAUUGUAGGCUAUAAAUUUUGUAUGUGGUCACUGUAUUCUUCCAGAGCAUGUAGGAGGCUGUCAGCUUCCUAAUCCUGGAUUUAUUGGCAGCAAUGAGAGGAGAGAGGGGGCUCAUUUCAGGGACCAAGAGGACAAACUUAUUCUUGGCACUUUGGAGGACUUUUCUGAUGCUGGUUAGAUGCACUGGAGUCCACACGGGCCCCCAUGAAUGUCACCCCAAACCUGGAGACCAUCCACCUCUGCAAGCAACCCCCUCAUGUUUUCAUUACAACCAGCCCUCAAUUCCUCUUUCUCUCUCAUUCCCACAUUCUGGAUGAGAAUUCAGCACCAGCACCUUCACAGUUACAGGUGAGGAGCUCAGACUGAGCUCACACAGCUCAAACUCCGUCUCCUUGCAGGGAGGCAGUUCCCAGUGCAGCAUCUGGCCUCUGAAACAGAAGACUUUGGAAGAAAUGUCAGUGAUGGACUGUGGCUGUGCCAAGGUGCUCUCAGGUUUUAGUAUUUCUUUCAGAAAACAAGAGGAUUGUUUCUCUAUUCUUACCUAUGAAGAGUGCCUUUAUCUGGAGUGCUCUUCUAUGAAAACCAGCCAAGAAAACACUCCAGAAGAAACUGAAAGGCAAGGAAACCCAGCACUUCCUUUACAUUAUUCACAUGGACUCUGCUACCUACAGAAUGUCGAGCACCAUUUGUGUGUCUCACAUUGUGCAAACAUGUGAGCAUCUCUUGGGAGUGUACAACUUACCCAUGGCUGCUGUGAGCAAGUGGAACUCUUGCAUCCAGCAAAGAGCAACAAGUAUUAUGCCAUAUAAAUAAGUGACAGCUUUGGAAAUGAAUUCAUUCUAAAAGAGUCUGUCAACCUGAAACCUGUCCUCUUUGCAAAAAAAAAAACAUUUCAAAAUAUUUUAAGGUUGAUGUCUUCCCUGAAUUUUCCUCAUCUCUCUUAAUAUCUCGUUUUUGUAUCAUUAAAACUUGCUCCCUCUUGCUCUGCUGUGAAGAAUAUGCACACACAGACACAAAUCUAGAGGAAAACCAAUCAUGCAGAUUUACAUGAUAUGACAAAACCAGAAAUGUGUCACAACUGAGUAAAAACUAUCAAGAGAAAUCAAUUCAAACCAGAGAGGGAAGGCAGGAGAGAAUGUUAGCUGACUUUAGUCUUGUAAAACAACUUUCUAACAUACCUGUAAUAAAAUUGAGCCUUAUCUGUUUACCAGGACAAGCAACUCCAGUUCUGCAAGCUCUGCACAGACCUCUAACCAGUGCAGAGCUGCACUUCUUUAAUUUUGUAUUAUCACUAAGAGCACAGCUCAGAGCCAGCUUCAACAUAUCUUGCCUUGAUGCAGGAUCUGGGUUUUCACAGCAGCCCUGGUCUGCAGCAGCACUGAUUCCAAGCAAAAGGGUCUCAUCAGGCUUUUUUGCAUUUCCCACUUUGGCUUCAUCCACAGCUGAAAAAUGAGUUUGCUUAAGCAUAACUCACAGUUAUCUCUUUCAGCUCAUCUGUAAAACCUUAAUGCAAUAUGUUCCCAUUUAAAGAUCCCUUUGCACCGCAAGAGCCACGUGAAGCAGCGUCUACAGACAGGAGUGAGCCCGGAUUAACCUGCCCUGGAAGCAGGAGGGAUGAGGAACCUUUCCAAAAGGCACGGGGAGAUCCAGCCAGUGCCAGAGAGCCCACUGGCUGUGUGGGCAGGAUCAGGAUGGGCGACUCUGUCCACCCUGGUGCCAGAGAGCUCCUGGGCUCGAUCCUACAAACCAGGCAAGAUGUGACUCACGCAGCUUGCUUGCAAAGAAGGAGGACCAUCUGCUAGUCAUGAGCAGAUGACAAAUUCACUGCAUUGCGUCUUGUCGCUACUUCCAAAUUUUGUCUGCUUGAAGAGAUGAGCAGGGACCUUUUGGGGAGCUUUGCUUCUGCACUCGCCUCUCUCCGAGUUGCUUGGAAGGAUCUGAGUUUAUGGAAUGACUGAAGUUGUCCUGAAGACAGAAAAAGAAACAGUUUCAUUUUAAUAGGUUAAUGGCUCCUGGACACUGAAGGAUCUGCCACUAGCCAAAACUACUUCUUGAUUUUCUUCUUUCAGCUUUCAUGCUGCUGUAAAUCUAGACAUCUUCUUUCCCUGACCAAGGAAAAACAUUGACCUUUUCUGGUGUUGACAAAAACAGCAGAAGACAAAUCCAGAUACAAAUAUUUUCAUCUAUUGCCACAGAAACUCCUUGAGAGCCAUGUAGCCCUGUCUGGUCAGCUGAAAUGUGAACUCAAAAUGUGUCUCCCUUGGCUGAGAAUGGAUGGAAAACCUUUCUUUAACAAAGCAGUGCUAUGUAUUCUUCCACCCACCUUGGGAGGAGAAACAUCUCUGUACCCACAGCCCUGCUUUGGUUCUUUUAGGUUAGGUUUUGUAUAAGGAAAGUGAUGAAAUUUACUUCUAGGACUAGAGGCUGAAGGUGAUAAGAAGAGCAGAGCAGUUGGUUUUAAAAGUUAAGUGCUUUUUGAAAGACAUUUUAUUCUAGCUGAGACUUUGAGAGACAAUGGAAUGUUUGUAUUCCCGGAAUUAGAAUGGCUUUUUUGCAGUGCUGGUACAGUAAUUAAGGUUUAGAGCUCAGUUCAAAACCUAAUACUACCAUAGCUGGCAAAGAAGAGAGCAUAAAUAAUAGCAGCUCUUCCUCCUUCAAAAUUAAUUUAGAAAAAAAAAUAAUUAAAGAAAUAGAAAUGUCAGGAUUUUCAAAAUUAUGGAAAAAUUCAUUAUAAGGGAUCUUCUCAGCUGGCUUCAAUGAUCUUUGGAUUCAGUCCUUGGAGACAAUUCUCCUAGGAAAAAAUCAAGUAUCGAGGGAGAAGAGCACUGAAUCUCAGCCACUGGAGAUGGGAAUUAGAUCUUCCCACAUUUCUGUCCAUAGACCUGUGAAGAUCUGUAUACCUGGUUAGAGUAGCUUUCCAGCUUCUUUCAGUGUCUGAAGCCCUUUUUUUCUAAUCUCCAGCUGUGCCUGUAGUGUAGGUUAGGUGAGUGGUUGGUUUGUGCAAGGAUACAGGGAAGAGAAGCAGGUAAAACACUGGAGAGGAGAAGCUGAGGAGACCCUAGGUCAAGUUUUGUUGCAAAUGUUUCUCUUCUCUACCACUGAUUGGUAAAAUCAUUCACAGUAUCUCCAUGGGCCAGCUCACUACAGAGCUGCAUGGAAAUCUUCCAUGAAACACCUUUCCCACCAGAAAAACAAAGCAAAACAAAAACCAAAAUCAAAAAAACAAACAAAAAGCUAAAAAUGUGCCAAUUUGUUAAA